AACGUACGCUGGCGGCACGCCUAACACAUGCAAGUCGAACGAAGUAGCAAUACUUAGUGGCAGACGGGUGAGUAACAUGUAGGUAUCUACCCUUUGGCCUGGAAUAACACGAGGAAACUUGUGCUAAUACCGGAUAAGUCUUUACGGAGAAAGCUUUAUGCACCAUUGGAUGAGCCUGCACUUGAUUAGUUUGUUGGUAGGGUAAUGGCCUACCAAGACUGUGAUCAAUAGCUGAUUUGAGAGGAUGAUCAGCCACAUUGGGACUGAGACACGGCCCAAACUCCUACGGGAGGCAGCAGUGGGGAAUCUUGCACAAUGGAGGAAACUCUGAUGCAGCGAUGCCGCGUGAGUGAAGAAGGCCCUUGGGUUGUAAAGCUCUUUCGUCGGGGAAGAAAAUGACUGUACCCGAAUAAGAAGGUCCGGCUAACUUCGUGCCAGCAGCCGCGGUAAUACGAAGGGACCUAGCGUAGUUCGGAAUUACUGGGCUUAAAGAGUUCGUAGGUGGUUGAAAAAGUUGGUGGUGAAAUCCCAGAGCUUAACUCUGGAACUGCCAUCAAAACUUUUCAGCUAGAGUUUGAUAGAGGAAAGCAGAAUUUCUAGUGUAGAGGUGAAAUUCGUAGAUAUUAGAAAGAAUACCAAUUGCGAAGGCAGCUUUCUGGAUCAUUACUGACACUGAGGAACGAAAGCAUGGGUAGCGAAGAGGAUUAGAUACCCUCGUAGUCCAUGCCGUAAACGAUGUGUGUUAGACGUUGGAAAUUUAUUUCCAGUGUCGCAGCGAAAGCGAUAAACACACCGCCUGGGGAGUACGACCGCAAGGUUAAAACUCAAAUGAAUUGACGGGGACCCGCACAAGUAGUGGAGCAUGUGGUUUAAUUCGAAGAUACGCGCAGAACCUUACCAACACUUGACAUGUUCGUCGCGACUUUAAGAGAUUAAAGUUUUCGGUUCGGCCGGACGAAACACAGGUGCUGCAUGGCUGUCGUCAGCUCGUGUCGUGAGAUGUUGGGUUAAGUCCCGCAACGAGCGCAACCCUCACUUUUAGUUGCCAUCAUUAAGUUGGGCACUCUGAAAGAACUGCCAGUGAUAAGCUGGAGGAAGGUGGGGAUGACGUCAAGUCCUCAUGGCCCUUACGUGUUGGGCUACACACGUGCUACAAUGGUAUUUACAACAGGAAGCAAGACAGCGAUGUUAAGCAAAUCCUUAAAAAAUACCUCAGUUCGGAUUGCACUCUGCAACUCGAGUGCAUGAAGCUGGAAUUACUAGUAAUCGUGGAUCAGCGUGCCACGGUGAAUGCGUUCCCGGGUCUUGUACACACCGCCCGUCACACCAUGGGAGUUGGUUCUACCUUAAGGCAAGGUUUUAAACCCUUGACCACGGUAUAGUCAGCGACUGGGGUG
rnacentral:rRNA from 1 species